rnacentral:rRNA from 1 species
UACGAAGGGGGCUAGCGUUGCUCGGAAUCACUGGGCGUAAAGGGUGCGUAGGCGGGUCUUUUAAGUCAGGGGUGAAAUCCUGGAGCUCAACUCCAGAACUGCCUUUGAUACUGAGGAUCUUGAGUUCGGGAGAGGUGAGUGGAACUGCGAGUGUAGAGGUGAAAUUCGUAGAUAUUCGCAAGAACGACCAGUGGCGGAAGGCGGACCCACGUCGGCCCGAGUACUGACGCUGAG